rnacentral:tRNA from 1 species
GGAGAGGUGGCCGAGUGGCUUAAGGCGGCGGUUUGCUAAACCGUUGUAUGGGGUAAACCCGUACCGGGGGUUCGAAUCCCCCCUUCUCCG